AGUGAACGCUGGCGGUAGGCCUAACACAUGCAAGUCGAACGGCAGCACAGUAAGAGCUUGCUCUUACGGGUGGCGAGUGGCGGACGGGUGAGGAAUACAUCGGAAUCUACUUUUUCGUGGGGGAUAACGUAGGGAAACUUACGCUAAUACCGCAUACGACCUACGGGUGAAAGCAGGGGAUCUUCGGACCUUGCGCGAUUGAAUGAGCCGAUGUCGGAUUAGCUAGUUGGCGGGGUAAAGGCCCACCAAGGCGACGAUCCGUAGCUGGUCUGAGAGGAUGAUCAGCCACACUGGAACUGAGACACGGUCCAGACUCCUACGGGAGGCAGCAGUGGGGAAUAUUGGACAAUGGGCGCAAGCCUGAUCCAGCCAUACCGCGUGGGUGAAGAAGGCCUUCGGGUUGUAAAGCCCUUUUGUUAGGAAAGAAAAGCAGCGGGUUAAUACCCCGCUGUUCUGACGGUACCCAAAGAAUAAGCACCGGCUAACUUCGUG
rnacentral:rRNA from 1 species